rnacentral:rRNA from 1 species
CCACUACAAGAUGGACCUGCGUUGUAUUAGCUAGUAGGUGAGGUAACGGCUCACCUAGGCGACGAUACAUAGCCGACCUGAGAGGGUGAUCGGCCACACUGGGACUGAGACACGGCCCAGACUCCUACGGGAGGCAGCAGUAGGGAAUCUUCGGCAAUGGGGGCAACCCUGACCGAGCAACGCCGCGUGAGUGAAGAAGGUUUUCGGAUCGUAAAGCUCUGUUGUAAGUCAAGAACGAGUGUGAGAGUGGAAAGUUCACACUGUGACGGUAGCUUACCAGAAAGGGACGGCUAACUACGUGCCAGCAGCCGCGGUAAUACGUAGGUCCCGAGCGUUGUCCGGAUUUAUUGGGCGUAAAGCGAGCGCAGGCGGUUUGAAAAGUCUGAAGUUAAAGGCUGUGGCUCAACCAUAGUUCGCCUUGGAAACUGUCAAACUUGAGUGCAGAAGGGGAGAGUGGAAUUCCAUGUGUAGCGGUGAAAUGCGUAGAUAU